CUCCUCCCUGCCUCCUUUCCUCCCUCCUUUCCUCCCUCCUUUCCUCCCUCCUUCCUCUCUCCUUUCCUCCCUCCUUUCUUCCUACACCUUGUUUACAAAUUAACCUGAUCAGAGGUGUUUGUUACAUAUCUCCGUUUUGUAUUUAUACGAAGAAGAAAAAAUAUUCAGAAAUGCAACCCAUGAAAAAGGCAGUGGCAUCUGCAGGUUGUGGGAUUUAGCCCCAUCCUGCAGGUUCUGGGGUUAAGUCCCAUUCUGUCUGCAGGUUGUGGGGUUUAGCACCAUCCUGCAGGUUCUGGGGUUAAGUCCCAUUCUGUCUGCAGGUUGUGGGAUUUAGCACCAUCCUGCAGGUUCUGGGGGUUAAGUCCCAUCCUGUAGGCAGGUUGUGGGGUUUAGCACCAUCCUGCAGGUUCUGGGGGUUAAGACCCUGCCCUGUGUUUGCUGAACCAUUAGUGGGCAUGGCAACACGUAUCCUGGCUACACCACCGCGUGUCUCUGUCCCUACCCUCUACAUCCUCUGCUUCCAUAGGUGUUGUGAUGAGAUACCCCCUCCCCUGUCCUUGUAUGUGCAUGCACUAUGGUUCUUCCACUUAACAAUAACAAUCAAUAAAGUUUGUCAAGAUAA